GUCUUGUACUUCGGCGUCGAGCGGCGGACGGGUGAGUAAUGCUUGGGAAUAUGCCUUUUGGUGGGGGACAACAGUUGGAAACGACUGCUAAUACCGCAUAAUGUUUACGGACCAAAGCGGGGGAUUCUUCGGAACCUCGUGCCAAAAGAUUAGCCCAAGUGAGAUUAGCUAGUUGGUGGGGUAAUGGCCUACCAAGGCGACGAUCUCUAGCUGGUUUGAGAGGAUGAUCAGCCACACUGGGACUGAGACACGGCCCAGACUCCUACGGGAGGCAGCAGUGGGGAAUAUUGCACAAUGGGGGAAACCCUGAUGCAGCCAUGCCGCGUGUGUGAAGAAGGCCUUCGGGUUGUAAAGCACUUUCAGUCGUGAGGAAAGGGGUGUAGCUAAUAUCUGCAUCCUGUGACGUUAGCGACAGAAGAAGCACCGGCUAACUCCGUGCCAGCAGCCGCGGUAAUACGGAGGGUGCGAGCGUUAAUCGGAAUUACUGGGCGUAAAGCGUGCGUAGGCGGUUUGAUAAGCCAGAUGUGAAAUCCCGGGGCUUAACCUCGGAACUGCAUUUGGAACUGUUUGACUAGAGUACUGUAGAGGGUGGUGGAAUUUCCAGUGUAGCGGUGAAAUGCGUAGAGAUUGGAAGGAACAUCAGUGGCGAAGGCGGCCACCUGGACAGAUACUGACGCUGAGGCACGAAAGCGUGGGGAGCGAACAGGAUUAGAUACCCUGGUAGUCCACGCCGUAAACGAUGUCAACUAGCUGUUUGUGUUCUUGAAACGUGAGUAGCGUAGCUAACGCGCUAAGUUGACCGCCUGGGGAGUACGGCCGCAAGGUUAAAACUCAAAUGAAUUGACGGGGGCCCGCACAAGCGGUGGAGCAUGUGGUUUAAUUCGAUGCAACGCGAAGAACCUUACCAUCCCUUGACAUCCAGAGAAUUUUCUAGAGAUAGAUUAGUGCCUUCCGGGAACUCUGAGACAGGUGCUGCAUG
rnacentral:rRNA from 1 species